rnacentral:rRNA from 1 species
AUUGAACGCCGGCGGCAGGCUCAACACAUGCAAGUCGAGCGGGGUGCUGGUGCUUGCACUCUCACUUAGCGGCGGACGGGUGAGUAAUGCUUAGGAAUCUGCCUAUUAGCGGGGGACAUCACCUCGAAAGGGAUCGUAAUACAGCAUACGUUCUCGUGGAGAAAGCCGGGGAUGACUGGUGACCUUCCGCUAACAGAUGAGCCUAAGUCGGAGUAGCUAGUUGGUGGGGUAAAGGCCUACCAAGGCGACGUUCUGUAGCGGGUCUGAGAGGAUGAUCCGCCACACUGGGACUGAGACACGGCCCAGACUCCUACGGGAGGCAGCAGUGGGGAAUAGUGGACGAUGGGGGGGACGCUGAUCCAGCCAUGCCGCGUGUGUGAAGAAGGCCUUAUGGUUGUAAAGCACUUUAAGCGAGGAGGAGGCUCUUUUGGUUAAUACCCAAGAUGAGUGGACGUUACUCGCAGAAUAAGCACCGGCUAACUCUGUGCCAGCCGCCGCCGUAA